ACGAAGGUGGUCUAAUACCAUAUAGUAUCCAUCUCGUAUGGAUUAAAGCUUUAUGCGCUUUGGGAGGGGCCUGCGUUUGAUUAGCUAGUUGGUGAGGUAAAAGCUCACCAAGGCGACGAUCAAUAGCUGGUUUGAGAGGAUGACCAGCCACACUGGGACUGAGAUACGGCCAGACUCCUACGGGAGGCAGCAGUAAGGAAUCUUCCACAAUGGGGCAACCCUGAUGGAGCAAUACCGCGUGCAGGAUGAAGCGUUUCGGCGUGUAAACUGCUUUUAUCACCGAAGAUUAUGACUGUAGGUGAAGAAUAAGGACCGGCUAACUACGUG
rnacentral:rRNA from 1 species